rfam:Myotis davidii contig212729, whole genome shotgun sequence.
GGUGGUUCUCGGGUGAUUCACCCAAGAAUCAGGCUCCUUCUUCUCUAGUUCCAGGUGCGUCACCUUAGAACCACA